AUUUGAAUAUAUUUAUCAAAAUUAAAAAUAAAAUUAUUAAAAAAAUAAAUAUUAUUAUAAUUUGUUGAUGCAGAAAUCUAUCUGGAAGUCGUAUCGAUUGGAGUUGGAUGACGAUGGCAGGUCGACGAUGAUGGUGAGACUUGCAAAAAAAAAUCUCCAAUCGAAGAUAGUUUCAAUGGAGAUCUUCCGAUGUUUAAAUUAGGAUUCUGACAACAACAAGAGAGAAAAAUUCAGAGAGGAGAUUUUAUCCAUUAGAGAUCUUAUAUAGGUCUUAUUUAUAAACAGAGAUUGAAGAGCUGUGAGAAAAAAAAAUCAAGCGAUUAGCUUAGAUUUAUCUGAAGAGAUAUUGCCGUUAUCUUUUCCUAACUACUCUGCUGUCAAGCUACUGUAGCGUAGCAAUUUAAAUUUUGAAAGAGAAUCAGAUAGGACCAGCUUCUUGUUGGAUUGGCUAGCAUCAAAGAUCGGUAAAGAUGGAUUGCCGAAGUAAAAAAUUAUG
rnacentral:lncRNA from 1 species